CGGAAGUUGUUAUCCCAAUCAUUUUAAAUAUAACCGACUAUAACUAAAAUUAGAUGUCUAUUUCUCAAUGAUUUAUAGGAAACUAUCUUUGAUGUAAAUGUUGUAUGAGAGACACUUCCUGUUAAAAAGAUGAAGAAACGGAGUAUUUGUUCAAAAGAAGGAAGGAGAAAUGACCAUUAAAUGACAUUCAAAGUUGGCAAAUAAAUUUGAAAAUUAUAUGUUGCAAGUCCCGAAAUAAGUACUAUAUACUAACGAAAAGGAGAACGUGGGCCUGGCGCGACCAUUUCAUCGAUAUUUAAAAUUGAAGCAUAAUGAGAAUGAAAAUAAAUACCGUGUCCUACAAAAUCAAGUGCAGGAACUCAAGUCCGAAUUGGUGGCUGCUGAGGAAAGAACAUAUACAGAAUGUAACCAAGCAAACUACACCUUAAAGUCUUUGGAGGAGGAGACGGCACAAAAUACCAACAAAGAAGAAAGAAUUGGAAAAGAAGACGCCAUUACUUAAGUUGAAGUACUUGGUGAAGAAACAGUAUCAAGUCCCGAAGACUUGAAGGGAUUACUGUCAACCACUGAAGAAUAAAAUUUACAAGAGAAGCAAUAUGUCAUACUCAUGUUGAAACGGAAAAGACAGAAGUCAAGAAUCAGCUGAACGCCAACAAGAUGAAGACGAAAAGGGAUGGGCAUAUACGAUGCGGGAAUAAGAAGAUGCCGAAGGAAGCUCAAGUUUUCAGGAAGAUAAAGAUGCUUAGUGAAAGUGGUGCAGCUUGAAAAGCAUAGGCUGGGGUGGCGGGAAAUUAUGAAAGCUUGCAACGCUGACAGUACUAUCUUACACUCCUUGGACAGCGAGUGUAAGAUUGUGCGGCCAGAGUAAGAUCAGAUCAUUGGCUGCAGAAUAAAGACGACGCAUGAAGAAGAGAGAUUUUUGUUAAACAGGGAUCAAUUUUAAUAUAGUCCAUUUUAAACAAGUAAAAAAGCAGUAAGAUCGGCCGGUCCGAACUUUGAAUACACUUCACCAUUUGGAAAUUAAAAAAAA